rnacentral:lncRNA from 1 species
AGUUAAACUUUUAUUUUCUUGAUGGUAUAAUUAAGAAAGAAGUAGAACCAGAAGAAUCUUUUAUUAUUUCAUGAUAUUGUUUUAAAAAUGUGUCUUUCUUGACAAGCCAAUAUAUGAGAGAAAUAAUUUAGAUAAUGCAUCUCCACUAUGUUCAUUUCAUAUUAAAAAAAAUGAAAGCAGUUGAUUUUAAAUCAUUAAACGUGACUAGAAAUCUUCCUUUUUGCGUUGUCCAGGUGAUUGUUGAAGUCCCAGAGAACUAUUAGAGUUAAGAGCAGCUUUCGACCUGCCUGAAUGGUGGGUAAGAGGGUGGGAUCUCUGAUCUCAGCAGUUACUCUUUUAGGUCCCUAGAUGAGGGCAAGGAGGCUUCUUUCUAUAGAAAAGGAAUGCUCCGGAGAUUCUCACGUGAUGUCUCUUCUCUUCAAUCUUCCAGGUAAGAGCAGGGAAAGAGAUAAGUAGGUAUGGAGGAGGAGACGAGGUAGCCCGCCUUGUUGGGUCCAUCUCCAGUUUCUAUCUAGGAUGAGCAUAGAUUUUUGUGAGGAGUCAGCUAAAAUGUGAACUUGGUAAAAAUUCUAAUAGACUAUGGGAAGCCCUGGGGUAUAUGUGGCAAUUUUAUUUCAAACUUCUCAGUGUCUGCCUUUAAAACACUCAAUUUAGAGUUUU